GCUCCAAUAGCGUAUAUUAAAGUUGUUGCGGUUAAAAAGCUCGUAGUUGGAUUUCUGUUGAGGGCAGCCGGUCCGCACUUGGUGCGUGUAUCUGGUUUGAUCUCGGCAUCCUCUCAAAAUACGUUUCUGCGCUUGAUUGCGUGGAGCGGAGUUUGAGACUUUUUACUUUGAGGAAAUUAGAGUGUUCACGGCAGGCAAUC
rnacentral:rRNA from 1 species